rnacentral:rRNA from 1 species
GAUGAACGCUAGCGGCAGGCUUAAUACAUGCAAGUCGAGGGGCAGCAGGUCCGUAGCAAUACGGAUGCUGGCGACCGGCAAACGGGUGCGGAACACGUACAGAACCUCCCUUCGAGCGGGGAAUAGCCCGGAGAAAUCCGGAUUAAUACCCCAUAGUAUGGUGAAGAGGCAUCCCUUUACUAUUAAAGAUUUAUCCCUUGAAGAUGGCUGUGCGGCUGAUUGGGUAGUUGGCGGGGUAACGGCCCACCAAGCCUGCGAUCAGUAACUGGUGUGAGGGCACGACCAGUCAAACGGGAACUGAGACAAGGGCCCGACGCCUACGGGAGGCAGCAGUAAGGAAUAUUGGUCAAUGGACGAAAGUCUGAACCAGCCAUGCCGCGUGGAGGAUGAAGGUCCUCUGGAUUGUAAACUUCUUUUAUAUGGGACGAAAAAAGACCUUUCCAGGUCGUCUGACGGUACCAUAUGAAUAAGCACCGGCUAACUCCGUGCCAGCCGCCGCAGUAACAC